rnacentral:tRNA from 1 species
GACCUCGUGGUGAAAGUUUCAUGUUGAGUUGCAAACUCAUUGAUGUGCAUUGAUAGUGUACCGGGGUCU